rnacentral:rRNA from 1 species
UACGUAGGCAGCAAACGUUGUUCGGAGUUACUGGGCGUAAAGAGUACGUAGGCGGUUUGCCAAGUUUGGUGUGAAAUCUCCUGGCUUAACUGGGAGGGUGCGCCGAAUACUGGCGAGCUUGAGUGUUGGAGAGGGGAGCGGAAUUCCUGGUGUAGCGGUGAAAUGCGUAGAUAUCAGGAGGAACACCGGUGGUGUAGACGGCUCCCUGGACAACAACUGACGCUGAGGUACGAAAGCGUGGGUAGCAAACAGG